AGAGUUUGAUCCUGGCUCAGGACGAACGCUGGCGGCGUGCCUAAUACAUGCAAGUCGAACGCUUCUUUUUCCACCGGAGCUUGCUCCACCGGAAAAAGAGGAGUGGCGAACGGGUGAGUAACACGUGGGUAACCUGCCCAUCAGAAGGGGAUAACACUUGGAAACAGGUGCUAAUACCGUAUAACAAUCGAAACCGCAUGGUUUUGAUUUGAAAGGCGCUUUCGGGUGUCGCUGAUGGAUGGACCCGCGGUGCAUUAGCUAGUUGGUGAGGUAACGGCUCACCAAGGCGACGAUGCAUAGCCGACCUGAGAGGGUGAUCGGCCACAUUGGGACUGAGACACGGCCCAAACUCCUACGGGAGGCAGCAGUAGGGAAUCUUCGGCAAUGGACGAAAGUCUGACCGAGCAACGCCGCGUGAGUGAAGAAGGUUUUCGGAUCGUAAAACUCUGUUGUUAGAGAAGAACAAGGAUGAGAGUAACUGUUCAUCCCCUGACGGUAUCUAACCAGAAAGCCACGGCUAACUACGUGCCAGCAGCCGCGGUAAUACGUAGGUGGCAAGCGUUGUCCGGAUUUAUUGGGCGUAAAGCGAGCGCAGGCGGUUUCUUAAGUCUGAUGUGAAAGCCCCCGGCUCAACCGGGGAGGGUCAUUGGAAACUGGGAGACUUGAGUGCAGAAGAGGAGAGUGGAAUUCCAUGUGUAGCGGUGAAAUGCGUAGAUAUAUGGAGGAACACCAGUGGCGAAGGCGGCUCUCUGGUCUGUAACUGACGCUGAGGCUCGAAAGCGUGGGGAGCAAACAGGAUUAGAUACCCUGGUAGUCCACGCCGUAAACGAUGAGUGCUAAGUGUUGGAGGGUUUCCGCCCUUCAGUGCUGCAGCUAACGCAUUAAGCACUCCGCCUGGGGAGUACGACCGCAAGGUUGAAACUCAAAGGAAUUGACGGGGGCCCGCACAAGCGGUGGAGCAUGUGGUUUAAUUCGAAGCAACGCGAAGAACCUUACCAGGUCUUGACAUCCUUUGACCACUCUAGAGAUAGAGCUUCCCCUUCGGGGGCAAAGUGACAGGUGGUGCAUGGUUGUCGUCAGCUCGUGUCGUGAGAUGUUGGGUUAAGUCCCGCAACGAGCGCAACCCUUAUUGUUAGUUGCCAUCAUUUAGUUGGGCACUCUAGCAAGACUGCCGGUGACAAACCGGAGGAAGGUGGGGAUGACGUCAAAUCAUCAUGCCCCUUAUGACCUGGGCUACACACGUGCUACAAUGGGAAGUACAACGAGUCGCAAAGUCGCGAGGCUAAGCUAAUCUCUUAAAGCUUCUCUCAGUUCGGAUUGUAGGCUGCAACUCGCCUACAUGAAGCCGGAAUCGCUAGUAAUCGCGGAUCAGCACGCCGCGGUGAAUACGUUCCCGGGCCUUGCACACACCGCCCGUCA
rnacentral:rRNA from 1 species